rnacentral:rRNA from 1 species
GAUGAACGCUGGCGGCGUGCCUAAUACAUGCAAGUCGAGCGAACAGAUGAGGAGCUUGCUCCUCUGACGUUAGCGGCGGACGGGUGAGUAACAUGUGGAUAACCUACCUAUAAGACUGGGAUAACUUCGGGAAACCGGAUCUAAUACCGGAUAAUAUAUUGAACCGCAUGGUGCAAUAGUGAAAUACGGUUUUGCUGUCACUUAUAGCUGGAUCCGCGCCGCAUUAGCUAGUUGGUAAGGUAAAGGCUUACCAAGGCAACGAUGCGUAGCCGACCUCAGAGGGUGGUCGGCCACCCGGGAACUGAGCCACGGUCCAGACUCCUACGGGAGGCAGCAGUCGAGAAUCUUCCGCAAUGGGGGAGAGCCUGACAGAGCAACGCCGCGUGAGUGAUGAAGGUCUUCGGAUCGUAAAACUAUGUUAUUAGGGAAGAACAAAUGUGUAAGUAACUAUGCACGUAUUGACGGUACCUAGUCAAAAAGCCACGGCUAACUACGUG